rnacentral:rRNA from 1 species
UCUGAUUAGCUAGUUGGUGGGGUAAAGGCUUACCAAGGCGACGAUCAGUAGCUGGUCUGAGAGGACGAUCAGCCACACUGGGACUGAGACACGGCCCAGACUCCUACGGGAGGCAGCAGUGGGGAAUUUUCCGCAAUGGGCGAAAGCCUGACGGAGCAAUACCGCGUGAGGGAGGAAGGCUCUUGGGUUGUAAACCUCUUUUCUCAGGGAAGAAGCUCUGACGGUACCUGAGGAAUCAGCAUCGGCUAACUCCGUGCCAGCAGCCGCGGUAAUACGGAGGAUGCAAGCGUUAUCCGGAAUGAUUGGGCGUAAAGCGUCUGCAGGUGGCUUUACAAGUCUGCUGUCAAAGACUGAGGCUUAACUUCGGAGAGGCAGUGGAAACUGAAAAGCUAGAGUGCGGUAGGGGUAGAGGGAAUUCCCGGUGUAGCGGUGAAAUGCGUAGAGAUCGGGAAGAACACCAGUGGCGAAAGCGCUCUGCUGGACCGCAACUGACACUCAUGGACGAAAGCUAGGGGAGCGAAUGGGAUUAGAUACCCCAGUAGUCCUAGCCGU